rnacentral:lncRNA from 1 species
GUUUCACCAUGUUGGUCAGGUUAGUCUUGAACUCCUGACCUCAGGUGAUCCACCCGCUUUGGCCUCCCCAAGUGCUGGGAUUACAGGCGUGAGCCACCACACCUGACCAAUUUUUAUAUUUUUUGUAGAGACGAUGUCUCAUCAUGUUGCCCAGGCUGGUCUUGAACUCCUGGGCUCAAGCGAGCCUCCUGCCUUGGCUUCCCAAAGUGCUGGGAUUACAGGCAUGAGCCACUGCGCCUGGCUGCAAGUAAUACCCUUAUCCCCACUGCAUGAAUGGGAAACAGGUCCAGAGGUGGGAAGUGACUUGUCCAAGGUCAUAGAGCCAGCAUUUGAAUGCUGGUGGUAGGAGGGGGAGACAGGCAGGAAACCUACCCGGGCCCCGGACCUCUCUGGACCCCCUCCACCCUGCUUGCCCACACAUUCAAGUCUUGGAGUGGUGUGACUCAGUUUCCCCAUUGGAUUGGAACAAGUCUUGGGCUGUGGUGGUCUGUUUCUACCAAGGGCCUAGCCCCAGCAUGGCCUGGUCACAGGACCCCCUGGAGGCCUUGGAGCUUCAGACUCUCCCCACCUAGAGCUCUGGUGGAGGGCAGGAAAUCGGGGGGCCAUUGGCGGAGGGGGCCCAGCAGGCAGGGCUGAUUAGCAGCCAUGAACAAUGGGCCUCUCUGUUCUCGGGGGCCACCUAACUGGUUUGUCUCUGGCACGGACGCGACCAGGUGGGGGUGAUGUGGGUGUGGCGGAGGGCACGGGGAGGGGGCUGGGUGUGCACAAUGCGUGUUCCUGUGUCCCGGAGGCCCUAACCUAGGGAGGCAUCUGUACCUGUCCAACUGCAUAGAGACACACAUUUGUAGGUACAGGAGUGCCCACUGUCAUUUGCAAUCUAGCUCAGGUUAUCAUCUGUGCCCUGAGACCCCUCAUCCUGGCCACACACACAGGGGUACACAGCACACUGUCAGGCUUACACUUGUGUGCCCACUCACACUCAUUCACACCCAGCCAUCUCAUAUCCUCACACUCAGGUUCUUUCAUACUCGUAUACACACACUCACACACUCACACACUGCCCACACACGAUCACACUCACAUGCUCAAGCAUUCUCACUCGAGCACACUUGCGUGCUCAAACGCUCCCACAUUUGGCUGGGUGCAGUGGCUCACACCUGUAAUCCCAGCACUUUGGGAGGCUGAGGCGGUUGGAUCACCUGAGGUCAGGAGUUCGAGACCAACCUGGCCAACAUGG